UCGCUUGAAGAUUGAAUAGCAAACUAACCGUCAAAAGAUGGAAAUGAAGGCAACUAAAAUUGCAUCAUCAUCACUAGCACAAUCAUGGUAGUGUUUUCUUUGAAGGGAUAUAUAAGAUACACAUGUAAGACAUCUCUAGAGAGGGAUUGUUUUUUCGAAAGAUAUGCAGGAAAGAAGGAAUAGAUUAUCAACCAUAGUUCCAUCGAAUAACGGAACUAAACAUUAUGAAAAAUUAGUCGAAUUGGGGUUCUCCCUUUUUUGUUCUUCGAGGUCUUUCCUACAAGAGAUUAGAGAGAUUCGCCUGUCGGAGCAAUCACAGGACACUCGUCUUUCUUCUUGGAUGGUCUCUCUAUUCAGUGUCUUUUCAAUAAGGG
rnacentral:lncRNA from 1 species